UGAAACAAUGCUGCGUUUCAUCGCAGAGGAGUUGACGGACACGUCAGGGGUUUUCUCCCCCUCCUAAAACAUCCUCAGUUUACCUUCGGAUCAGCCCGCUAUGGACUACUCCAGUUCCCCCAGCAACCUGGACGGAUUUUGAGGAUGGUUUGCAUUUUUUAACCCUUUCCCAUUCAAGGUCAGCAGGAUGGCUGAAAAGGGGCCCGACUCUUCUGGACAACUAAAAACAUUAUUAUAGCCAGCAUCGGCUUAAAAAAA